rnacentral:rRNA from 12 species
CUUAGAUGUCCUGGGCCGCACGCGUGCUACACUGAUACGUACAACAAGGGGGUAUAUGCAUUCAUGCAUCGACGCUGCUCCGAGAUAGACACAGCUAAAUCUUCUAAAAUACGUAUCGUGCUGCGGAUAGAUCGUUGAAAUUAUGGAUCUUGAAGGUGGAAUUCCUAGUAAGCGCGGGUCAUCAGCCCGCGUUGAUUACGUCCCUGCCCUUUGUACA